rnacentral:lncRNA from 1 species
GGAAAUAUCCCUCACUUGGAAAUUUGCACUGCACAGUAGUAUUUGAACAGACUCUGGCUCCACGCUCCCCAACAACACAUCUAGGAAGCUCUUGUGUAAGCCCAUGUGAGAAGGAUGGAUGGGAGAAGGCUGGGAAGUAUCUUCUGGUCACCUGCGAAUGCCUGCGAUGUAAUUGGUGCUUCUAACUGAUGGAUGUACUACGAUGUUAACUUUUUUCACUCGGUGAAGAUACUAUCUGCCAGAUCUUUCUGCUGUAAAAUCAAUUAAUAAGAGUUUCAUGAGGUGUCACUUUGAAACUACGCAACUCCAUAUCCUGGCUGCCUUGCCAACUGGAUUCCAACUAGGUUUGUCCACUGGGAGGCACUGACAAAAGAAUGGCGAGCAGGUGGAAGAAGCUAGG